rnacentral:rRNA from 1 species
GACGAACGCUGGCGGCGUGCCUAACACAUGCAAGUCGAGCGAUGAAGCUCCUUCGGGAGUGGAUUAGCGGCGGACGGGUGAGUAACACGUGGGUAACCUGCCUCAUAGAGAGGGAUAGCCUUCCGAAAGGAAGAUUAAUACCUCAUAAGAUUGUAGUUUCGCAUGAAACGGCAAUAAAAGGAGCAAUCCGCUAUGAGAUGGACCCGCGUCGCAUUAGCUAGUUGGUAAGGUAAUGGCUUACCAAGGCGACGAUGCGUAGCUGACCUGAGAGGGUGAGCGGCCACAUUGGGACUGAGACACGGCCCAGACUCCUACGGGAGGCAGCAGUGGGGAAUAUUGCACAAUGGGGGAAACCCUGAUGCAGCAACGCCGCGUGAGUGAUGACGGUCUUCGGAUUGUAAAACUCUGUCUUUGGGGACGAUAAUAACGGUACCCAAGGAGGAAGCCACGGCUAACUACGUGCCAGCAGCCGCCGUAAAAC